GAUGAACGCUGGCGGCGUGCCUAACACAUACAAGUCGAACGGAGAUUCCGGACGGACGUUUUCGGAUGGAAGCCUGUAAUUCUUAGUGGCGGACGGGUGAGUAACGCGUGGGCAACCUGCCCUAUACAGGGGGAUAGCAGCUGGAAACGGCUGGUAAGACCGCAUAAGUCGGUUAAAUCGCAUGAUUUGAUCGGGAAAUGAGCAAUCAGGUAUAGGAUGGGCCCGCGUCCGAUUAGCCAGUUGGCAGGGUAAAAGCCUACCAAAGCGACGAUCGGUAGCCGGACUGAGAGGUCGGACGGCCACAUUGGGACUGAGACACGGCCCAAACUCCUACGGGAGGCAGCAGUGGGGGAUAUUGCACAAUGGAGGAAACUCUGAUGCAGCGACGCCGCGUGAGUGAAGAAGUAUUUCGGUAUGUAAAGCUCUAUCAGCAGGGAAGAUGAUGACGGUACCUGACUAAGAAGCCCCGGCUAACUACGUG
rnacentral:rRNA from 1 species